CGUGACAUUUAAGGAGGUAGUUCC
rnacentral:miRNA from 1 species